AUGCAUGUGGCAUCCAAUAAAGUUAGUGCAAUAGAUGUGCAAGUGCAAAAACAAAUCAAAAGCUUUUCAGUCUGUGUGAUUACUGCAAUGCAGCCGAAGGGACAGGGAAGGCACAGGACUUUCAAAACUAAGAAGGAUGGAUCUCUUUGGAAUUCCAUAUUCCACGCACAACAGCACCCUGUGGAAGGAGCAGAAGAGACUGACGGAGUCUGUUCUAGAGAAGAGAAAAGACUAGACCAGAAGAUCUUGUGGUCUUCCAUUUGUCCUUCAGUGGCCUUGCUAGGAACGUCAUUCCUUCUGCAAAUUCAUCCAUUACCACUCUUUCCUGCAAGCCCAAGUGGUGAAUUUCAGAACAUGAAGUGGAAAAUCAGGUAAUUCCUUGGGGCACAAUGAAUUAGUGAAUAGGUCCCACAAAUGAGUAAGGAAAAUGAAGCUGCAUACAUUUGUUCUUGCUGCCCUUUGCCUCAUAGAAAUGGCAUCAGCAUAAGAGGGGAGUGAUAAAAUGGGAGCAGUAUUCUCCCCUUCAAUCUUCAUUUUUCCCUAGAAGAGAUUAAUGAGAAUGAUAUUCCUUCUGCACGUAAAGCAGAAGCAGACAAUAGAGCACUUGUCUCUAGUGUAUGGGUACUCCUUCCAACAGAAUGGAAAUUAACAGCCAGUUUGAAAAAGCCACGAAUUCUGGUACUUCUCAUGACUUGUUUCUGCAGAAUCCAUUACCUCUCCCCCUUAUUAACUGUAAAUAAACUAUGCAAGUCCAAAGAUUUAUGGUGUUCU
rnacentral:lncRNA from 1 species